ACCUAGAUACCUAUACUUAUACUUAGAACAGAGUACUUACUCAUAGUAUUAAAUUAUUGUACAAGAUUAAUAUCUAAAGUUUAAACAUAUCGUAUAAUUGUGUCAAGUGUGGAAGGACAUCAAAUGAUGGCGUAUCUCUUUAUGAGUGAGUAAUAUUUUGUUUUAUUUUUUUCAUUUAAAUUCUCAAAGAAUUAUUUUCACACCAAUAAUCAAAUUAGUUUCAUUAAGUACAAUCAAAAUUACACACUUAUAUUGAUAAAUUUCAGGUUUCCAGAAGCGGUAGACUGUUGUAAUGAAUGGAUCAAAAUUUUAGGUUUAAAAUUAUGUAAACCAUCAGAUGUUAUGUUAUGCAGUGACCAUUUCACUGUAGACGAAUUCAAGACGAAUUCUGAAACAAAAAAUGCUUGAUUAGUACCACUGCACCGUUUGGCAUUGGAUUUAAAUAAACGUUUUAUAUAAAAGAUUUUAUCAUUAAGUAGCAUAAAUAACUUUAUGAAUUUGUCUGUGUAAAUAAGUGUUUGUAUCUUUUAUA